GACGAACGCUGGCAGCGUGCUUAACACAUGCAAGUCGAACGGAAAGGCCCUGCCUUUGUGGGGUGCUCGAGUGGCGAACGGGUGAGCAACACGUGAGUAACCUGCCCUUGACUUUGGGAUAACUUCAGGAAACUGGGUCUCAUACCGGCUAGGAGCUCCUGCCGCAUGGUGGGGGUUGGACAGAUUCGGCGGUUGGGGAUGGACUCGCGGCUUAUCAGCUUGUUGGUGGGGUAGUGGCUUACCAAGGCUUUCACCGGUAGCCGGCCUGGGAGGGUGACCUGCCCAAUUGGAACUGAGAUGCGGCCCAGACUCCAACGGGAGGCAGCAGAGGGGAAUAGUACACAAUAGGCGGAGGCCUAGUGCGGCAAAGCAGCGUGCGGGAUGACAGCAAUCGGGUAGGAAACCACUUUCGCCUGUGACGAAGCGUGAGUGACGGUACUGGGUAAAUAAGCACCGGCUAACUACGUG
rnacentral:rRNA from 1 species